CCGCCCUGGGUUAGUCGGGACCUAAGCUGAGGCCGAAAGGCGUAGGUGAUGGACAACAGGUUGAUAUUCCUGUACUACCGAUAACCGUUUGAGAGAUGGGAUGACACAGUAGGAUAAGCUAAGCACACUGUUGGUUAUGUGUGCCCAAGCAUUGAGGCAGUCAAAGUAGGCAAAUCCGCUUUGAUAAUGCUGGGAUGUGAUGGGGAGCGAAAUUUAGUAGCGAAGUAGCUGAUUUCACACUGUCAAGAAAAGUCUCUAUCGAGGUUAAAGGU
rnacentral:rRNA from 1 species